rnacentral:rRNA from 1 species
AUGAAGAAAAGGUUAUGGUAUGAUGAGAAGAGAGCUCACCUAGGUGAGCAAUUUGUGAAGCAUCUUUGCUUCAUUGAUGUGUACCAGUUCAGGAAUGCACUUCAAACAAUGCACAUUGCACAGAACAGGAACCAUGAGUACCAUAGAAAUUGCAGUGACAGGGUUAUAGCACAAUGCAUAGAUGAGACAUGCCCUUUUUAUAUAGCAGCUUCUCAGAUUGCAAAUGAGAAGACUUUUACCAUAAGGAAGCAGUAUGUGGUGCACACUUGUCCUUCUGUGUCAGAGAACACAAAAGUUACUGCUAAGUGGGUUGCAAAGUUUUGUGAGGAAGCAAUCAGAAAUGACCCAUGCACAACAAUCACUACUAUAAUUAACACUGCAAAGAGCAAGUAUGGAGUGGAAAUAUCAACCCACAUGGCAUACAGGGCUAAGAAGGCAGCAAAGAAUGUUGUGUUAGGAGAUCAGAAGGCCCAGUACACCAGGAUUAGGGAUUAUUUGCAGCAAAGAAUGUUGUCUUUGGCAGCUUACAGUCCUAUAAUAUAUCCUGUACCUGGCCCUGACAUGUGGCCAAGGACAGAUAGUUUGGACAUUGAGGCUCCUGUUUUCAAAGAACACAAGGGCAGAGCACAGACUAAGAGGAGAAAGGGCCAAUUUGAGAAGCCAGCUCCCAAAGACACUUCAAGAAUGGCCUCAAUUACCUGCUCCAACUGUAAAAAGGUGGGCCAUAGGUACACCAAUUGCCAUGAUGCUCUAAAGCCUGCACUUGCUAUGAGAAAGAACAAACAUCAGGUAACCACUCUGCUAUGA